CUCAGACAUCAUGGAAACUCAAAACUGAUCAGGGAUUCAUUAUCUAGUUCGUCGAAUGCCUUACACGGAAUCUACAAAUUGAUCCCCCCAUCUAGCCCUCAACUCAUCAUCAUAGGUCAACGUUUUGAUUAUAUGCUCACACAUCAACCUUUGUUCAGAAGUCAGGCGACGCCCAUCACGAUGUUUCAUUUUGCGACCGUGUAUUUGAGUCGUCUCCUCACUUUGCUCGCCUGAUCUGAUGCCCAAUGCCGUAACUGAAUGUAACUCGGCUACAAGUUCCUUGAUCACUCGCCUGGCCAUCGCUCUGCCCCAUAUGAUGUCGGCUAGCAAGGUACAUUGCGUAAAAAUACCAGCAAGUACGCGACUGUCGCGGGUGUAAUGGAUGAGCUCAUCAGUGGAAUUUUUAAGCCACACGGCUAGCCCACUUAAUAGUGGCUCGUUUCCCUUGAUAUUGACCAUCAGAAGGAACGGAACAAAGUUCGCAUAUGCUUCCGAUCUUUGGCAAGCAGAGCCUACUGGGGAAACUGGAGGUAUAUCGAGUUGUGAGAAAAUAAUCUUGAGGACAACUGUCAUCCAGUUUGAAGCGUCUGCAGAAGCCCAUAGGGAAUCAAGCAAAGGAUUCGCCCAAAAUGCUGUUGCAAAUGGAAGAGUGUUAAUGCUUUGGAGACUUGACUCAACUGACGGCUGAUUUGGCGGUGCAUCUGAGUACCUUAUUAGCAUAUACGUAAUGUUCUUGGUUUUACAUUACUAACAGUGAGAAGUAGCGAUCCCUAGAGACUCUAGCUUAGCUUUGAAUGCAAG
rnacentral:sRNA from 1 species